rnacentral:rRNA from 1 species
UACGUAGGUGGCAAGCGUUGUCCGGAUUUACUGGGCGUAAAGGGCGCGUAGGCGGCCUUCUAAGUCGGACGUGAAAUCCCUCGGCUUAACCGAGGAACUGCGUCCGAUACUGAAAGGCUUGAAUCCGGGAGAGGGAUGUGGAAUUCCAGGUGCAGCGGUGAAAUGCGUAGAUAUCUGGAGGAACACCGGUGGCGAAGGCGGCAUCCUGGACCGGUAUUGACGCUGAGGCGCGAAAGCCAGGGGAGCAAACGGG